GAAUUCGCCCUUAGAGUUUGAUCCUGGCUCAGAACGAACGCUGGCGGCGUGCUUAACACAUGCAAGUCGAACGCGAAAGCCCGCAAGGGUGAGUAGAGUGGCGCACGGGUGAGUAACACGUAAGCAAUCUGCCCUUGAGUGGGGGACAACGUUCCGAAAGGAGCGCUAAUACCGCAUAACCCGGUAGGGACCCAGGUCCCGGCCGGCAAAGAUGGCCUCUGCUUGCAUGCUAUCGCUUAAGGAGGAGCUUGCGUCCCAUUAGGUAGUUGGUGAGGUAACGGCUCACCAAGCCCGCGAUGGGUAGCCGGCCUGAGAGGGUAACCGGCCACACUGGCACUGAGACACGGGCCAGACUCCUACGGGAGGCAGCAGUGAGGAAUUUUGGGCAAUGGGCGAAAGCCUGACCCAGCGACGCCGCGUGGGUGAUGAAGGCCUUCGGGUCGUAAAACCCUGUGAGAUGGGAAGAAGCCGUUGCGUGCUAAUACCACGUCGCGGUGACAGUACCAUCAGAGGAAGCCCCGGCUAACUACGUGCCAGCAGCCGCGGUAAAACGUAGGGGGCUAGCGUUGUUCGGAAUUACUGGGCGUAAAGCGCGUGUAGGCGGCUUGGCAAGUCGGAAGUGAAAGCCCCAGGCUCAACUUGGGAAUUGCUUUCGAAACUGCCUAGCUUGAGUGCGGGAGGGGAGAGCGGAAUUCCAGGUGUAGCGGUGAAAUGCGUAGAUAUCUGGAGGAACACCGGUGGCGAAGGCGGCUCUCUGGACCGUAACUGACGCUGAGACGCGAAAGCGUGGGUAGCAAACAGGAUUAGAUACCCUGGUAGUCCACGCCCUAAACGAUGGAUACUUGGCGUGGGAAGUUCAAAUCUUUCCGUGCCGGAGCUAACGCGUUAAGCAUCCCGCCUGUGGAGUACGGUCGCAAGACUAAAACUUAAAGGAAUUGACGGAAGGGCGAAUUC
rnacentral:rRNA from 1 species